UUUUCUUUUUACCACUACAGAAACACAUUGUGUAGCUGCUCCCUCUUCACACACACCAAAUAUAGUGCCCUCUCUCACACUCAGGCACCUCAUAGAACAGACACACAUACUGCAGUCUCACACACACCAACAUGCUGGCAGCCCACACUUUCUCUCACAUACACACUUCCCACAUCUCUGGCAUCUCACAUUUUCUCACACCUUCUCACAUGUCCCACCUCUCUGGCAUCUCACACUUUCUCUCACACACAUACCUCCCACAUCUCUGGCAUCUUGCACUCACACACAAGACACACCCCACGUCUAUGGCAGCUCACACUCUCUCACACACACGUCCCACAUCUCUGGCAGCUCAGACUCUCACACACACACGUCCCACAUCUCUGGCACACUUUCUCUCACACACGUCCUACAUCUCUGGCAGCUCAGACUGUCUCUCUCUCACACACACACACGCCCCUCAUCUUUAGCAGCUCACACUCUCACACACGUCCCACAUCUCUAGCAGCUCACACUCUCUCACACACAUAUCCCACAUCUCUGGCGGCUCACACACACACCUUCCACUUCGUCUCUCCUGGAGCCUCGCACUCGAACUCACCUUCCACACACAUGCACACCACUUCUCUCAUUCUCGCUCUCACACUUCCCAGCAUAACCUGGUCGCUCGCAGGCCUCUCGGGUCCAGCCUGCCUCACACGCUUACUCCGCGAGCUCGCCCCACCCACCUGUCCCCAGCCGGGCAGCAGCUGCGGCCUCCGCGCACCCGCCCCCCGCGGGCCGCAGAACCGCGCCGCGCGGGCCUCUGGGAAAUGUAGUCCGCGCAGGAAGGCUCCGCAGCGGCGUCCCCGUUGGGGCUGCACCGCUGGGAUCAGGGCGGCCCGCCUCGGCUGUCCGGCCCGGCCUCCGGGCUCCGACUUGCGACCCGCGGUAACAGCCCAGCGGCCUCCGCCCGGAAACCACUACUCUCACCCGAAGGGCCGUAGGGGCCAACGCCCAGGCUCCGAGCGCGCAGUCGGUGAACCUCCCGAGGCGGGCGGAGUAAAGGGGGAGGAGCCCGAGGAGCUAGGGGCGGGGCCUAGCGGCAGGGGCGUGUCCUUGAGUUGUAGAGAACGAGAGGAGGAACCCGAGCGCCGGAGCGUGCGUGCCUGCGAUUGA
rnacentral:lncRNA from 1 species